AAUGGGCGCAAGCCUGAUCCAGCCAUACCGCGUGGGUGAAGAAGGCCUUCGGGUUGUAAAGCCCUUUUGUUGGGAAAGAAAAGCAGCCGGUUAAUACCCGGUUGUUCUGACGGUACCCAAAGAAUAAGCACCGGCUAACUUCGUGCCAGCAGCCGCGGUAAUACGAAGGGUGCAAGCGUUACUCGGAAUUACUGGGCGUAAAGCGUGCGUAGGUGGUUGUUUAAGUCUGUCGUGAAAGCCCUGGGCUCAACCUGGGAAUGGCGAUGGAAACUGGGCGACUAGAGUGUGGCAGAGGGUAGUGGAAUUCCUGGUGUAGCAGUGAAAUGCGUAGAGAUCAGGAGGAACAUCCGUGGCGAAGGCGACUGCCUGGGCCAACACUGACACUGAGGCACGAAAGCGUGGGGAGCAAA
rnacentral:rRNA from 1 species